AACUGGGUAACCUGCCCAUCAGAGGGGGAUAACAUUCGGAAACGGAUGCUAAAACCGCAUAGGUCUUCGAACCGCAUGGUUUGAAGAGGAAAGAGGCGCAAGCUUCUGCUGAUGGAUGGACCCGCGGUGCAUUAGCUAGUUGGUGAGGUAACGGCUCACCAAGGCCGUGAUGCAUAGCCGACCUGAGAGGGUGAUCGGCCACAUUGGGACUGAGACACGGCCCAA
rnacentral:rRNA from 1 species